GAGCUGCUUCCUGUGUCAGCUGAUACCAAGACCCCAUGCAGCUAAGGCAGGAAUGCUCCACUCCACAGCCGCCUCAGCCUCUUACCCUUCGGCCUUAAAGAGCCUGUGUGUGCCCCGACCCAGCGCUCAGAACCGGAGACACGGGCCGGGGCUGGCGGUGGGGAGCGGCUCAGGCCAGCUCAGGUAUAUCAGCGUUACAGACAAUCGUGGAGCUACAGGGCAGCCCCACUUGACUUGAUUCUCCUUCUCAGAGCUUCCAUGGACGCCCAAUGGUUUCCCCCUCCUUGGCUUUCAGGUGCGGGUUGGAGGGUUGUGAGCAAAGACCUGGAGCAGCUCUGGCAACAUCAACUCUAUGAAAGUGUGUGCCUGUCCAGUUUUCUGGUUGCGGCACGGCGGGAUCUUCACUGCGGUGCGUGGGCUCCAGAGCAUGCGGGCUUAGUUGCCCCGGGGCAUGUGGGAUCUUCGUUCCCCAACCAAGGAUCGAACCCGCGUCCCCUGCAUUGGAAGGCGAUUCUUCACCACUGGACCACCAGAACUUCUCUACUAUGGUAGCUUCUCAAACGGGCUGUGAGGGGUGUGCUUCUCUGCUGGUUUCCCUGGUAACCGAGGAGCCAACUGACGUCAAUUCCCCCUAUAACUGGUAACCUCUGCCUCUCCCCGGGGAGC